rnacentral:rRNA from 1 species
AUUGAACGCUGGCGGAAUGCUUUACACAUGCAAGUCGAGCGGCAGCGCGGGGCGAACCCUGGCGGCGAGCGGCGAACGGGUGAGUAACAUAUCGGAACGUACCCAGUCGUGGGGAGUAACUAUCCGAAAGGACAGCUAAUACCGCAUACGUCCUGAGGGAGAAAGCGGGGGAGUCGCAAGACCUCGCGCGAUUGGAGCGGCCGAUAUCGGAUUAGCUAGUUGGUGGGGUAAAGGCUCACCAAGGCGACGAUCCGUAGCGGGUCUGAGAGGACGACCCGCCACACUGGAACUGAGACACGGUCCAGACUCCUACGGGAGGCAGCAGUGGGGAAUUUUGGACAAUGGGCGCAAGCCUGAUCCAGCCAUGCCGCGUGCGG